UACGUAGGGACCAAGCGUUGUUCGGAUUUACUGGGCGUAAAGGGCGCGUAGGCGGCGUGACAAGUCACUUGUGAAAUCUCUGGGCUUAACCCAGAACGGCCAAGUGAAACUGUUGUGCUAGAGUGCAGAAGGGGCAAUCGGAAUUCUCGGUGUAGCGGUGAAAUGCGUAGAUAUCGAGAGGAACACCAGAGGUGAAGACGGGUUGCUGGGCUGACACUGACGCUGAGGCGCGAAAGCCAGGGAGCAAACGGG
rnacentral:rRNA from 1 species